rnacentral:rRNA from 1 species
GCGUCCCUCCCGUCCGCCCGACCUACCUACGAACGUACCUACCGGUAACGGGACGGAGGCAUGGGAAUUUGCGCAAUGGGGAAACCUGACGCAGCAACGCCGCGUGGAGGAUGAAGUCCCUUGGCGUAACUCCUUCGAUUGGGAAGAUUAUGACGGUACCAAUAGAAGAAGCCCCGGCUAACUUCGUGCCAGCAGCCGCGGUAAUAC